rnacentral:rRNA from 1 species
CGAACGAAUCCCACUGGGGUAGUAAUACCUCGGUGGGGGAAGUGGCGAAAGGGGCAGUAAUGCAUGGGUAACCUACCUUGGGGAUGGGCAUAGCCGUUCUAACGAACGGGUAAUUCCCAGCGAUUUGACGGGAGGGCAUCCUUCUGUCAGGAAAUGAAUUUCGCCUCGAGAGGGGCCCAUGUCGUAUUAGCUAGUUGGUGGGGUAACGGCCUACCAAGGCAAAGAUGCGUAGCGGGUGUGAGAGCACGACCCGCGCCACUGGCACUGAGACACUGGCCAGACACCUACGGGUGGCUGCAGUCGAGGAUCUUCGUCAAUGGGCGCAAGCCUGAACGAGCGACGCCGCGUGAGCGAUGAAGGCCUUCGGGUCGUAAAGCUCGAAAGUGGGGAGAAAGCCGCAAGGUUGAUCGAUCCACAGUAAGGACGGGCUAAGUUCGUGCCAGCAGCCGCGGUAAGACGAACUGUCCAAACGUUGUUCGGAAUCACUGGGCUUAAAGGGCGCGUAGGCGGUCGAUCAAGUCAGGGGUGAAAUCCUGCAGCUUAACUGUAGAAGUGCCUUUGAUACUGGUCGUCUCGAGGGAGGUAGGGGGUGGUGUGGAACUUCCAGUGGAGCGGUGAAAUGCGUUGAUAUUGGAAGGAACGCCGGAGGCGAAAGCGACGCACUGGACCUCUUCUGACGCUGAGGCGCGAAAGCUAGGGGAGCAAACGGGAUUAGAUACCCCGGUAGUCCUAGCCCUAAACGAUGGGUACUAGAUUGUAGACUGAUCAUGGGUUUACAGUCGAAGCAAAAGUGUUAAGU